GCUUAGAGUUUGAUCCUGGCUCAGAACGAACGCUAGCGGGAUGCCUCAAACAUGCAAGUCGUACGCGAAAGCCUUCGGGCAAGUAGAGUGGCGCACGGGUGCGUAACACGUAGCUAACGUACCCCUUCGCUGGGGAUAACUUCGGGAAACCGAAGCUAAUACCGAAUGAACCGUCUUGGUCUGCGGACCGGGCCGGUAAAGCCGUAAGGCGCGAAGGGAUCGGGCUGCGGCCCAUUAGCUUGAUGGUGGGGUAACGGCCUACCAUGGCGACGAUGGGUAGCUGGUCUGAGAGGAUGAUCAGCCACACUGGAACUGGAACACGGUCCAGACUCCCACGGGAGGCAGCAGUUGGGAAUAUUGGACAAUGGGGGAAACCCUGAUCCAGCAAUCCCGCGUGAGUGAUGAAGGCCCUCGGGUCGUAAAGCUCUUUCAACAGGGAAGAAGAUCUGACGGUACCUGUAGAAGAAGCACCGGCUAACUCCGUGCCAGCAGCCGCGGUAAUACGGAGGGUGCGAGCGUUGUUCGGAAUCAUUGGGCGUAAAGCGCGUGUAGGCGGCCAACUAAGUCUGAUGUGAAAGCCCGGGGCCUAACCCCGGAAGUGCAUUGGAUACUGGUUGGCUCGAGGGCGAGAGGGGGAAGCGGAAUUCCUGGUGUAGGGGUGAAAUCCGUAGAUAUCAGGAGGAACACCGGAGGCGAAGGCGGCUUCCUGGCUCGCAUCUGACGCUGAGACGCGAAAGCGUGGGGAGCAAACAGGAUUAGAUACCCUGGUAGUCCACGCCCUAAACGAUGGACACUAGUCGUCGGAAUACCUAAUAGUU
rnacentral:rRNA from 1 species